rnacentral:lncRNA from 1 species
GGCGACUCCCGCUGCAGCUCGGCGAACCGGCGGGUUCCGGGCUCCAGCUGCAGCUCGGCAGAUGGCGCGCUCGUUGUUGGUAAAAAUUACCUUCUUCCAAUGAUUCAUGGAUUUACAAUUUUGUUGUGUGUCAGCUCGUUGCGUUGCCGGUAAUAGCUAUGGCUGGACGACAGUGUUGAUAGUACUAAUUACCCUAUCAGCUGGUACUGCUUCAAUCAUGGAGCUGGGUACAUUAUAUAAAAUGCUUUGUUCAGUUAUCUCCUCCAGAUGCUUCAGACUUUAAUUAUAUCACACUGAAAAUAUAUAUGCUUCAUCUUUUGCUGGAUCUCUUUAGUCACUGGUCAGAGAUCUAUAUAUAUGAUGUGCAUCCUGGCAUAUGCAUUUCGUUGGAAAUUGACAGCAUAUAACAUCUUCAUAGAUUAAAAAAAAGACUGACAACAUAUGUUCACUUAGCACAUGGAAUUGAGAGAAUAUAUCACACCGAAAUCACGAACUGAUGCCACAAAAAGGUUGCUUGGUUCAAGUGACAUGAUAAAUUAAUCCGAGUUUACAUCAAGCAAAAAUAUAUAUUUUUCUGAGCCAAUAUCUUUGAAAUUGACAAAUUUCAACACCUCUACGAAUUUAAAAUAGAAUUGAAUGCACUAAAAUUAGAGCUUCUUCCUCUUUGUGGUCAGUUUUUUCUUGCAUGCCGUAGAGCGUGAAGGGAAGUGAGAAGUAGGUGAUGCUGUAGAAUUAACAGUACUUGUCCCAGAUGGCCGUGAUGCAUCGUCUCCAGCUAUGGCCAUAGCAAGCCUCCUGCAUGUUUACACACCAAUGUUAUAAAAGUAGGAUUUUUCUUUUGCAUGAAUCAAAUGUGCAUAUGACAAAUUUAGUAGGAACCUCCUUGUGAUAGGCCCAGGGCUGUUAUGAAGGCUGGGAGGCAGUGUGAUUGUUGUUGUGCGUGUAGGUGUCGCAACAACAACUGGAGCGAGCUCGUGAGCAGACACAUCACUAGAAAGUUCAAUCACACCGGAUGUUAGAAAUGGUUUAAUAGUACUAAUUUGAUACUAAUAUAAAGGAGAUACUAGUGUAUGGCUUACCUCUCUUUAGCUUCAUUUUUUUUGCAAGUUGCUUUCCUGUGCCCCAAUAUCCCACAUUCUUUGCACCUAUUUUUGCUGCCAAAUCUCUUCUUUUCUUUUUCCUUUUCCUUUUCCUUUUCCUUUUCCUUCUCUUUGUCACCUCCUUCUUGGUCAUUUGUUUUGCCAUUAUCAUCUUUUUUCUUUCGUUUGUUGCCACCACCGUCUUCAAGGCAACUUUUGAUUCUCUGCUUCCUCCGUCUCCCAACGGAGCUCUUUAAAUCCGGUGGCACCAUCUCAAAAUCUAGAUUAACAUGAGGCCAUUGAGACUUGUCCGUGAUUGGUUCAAUCUCUCCAGCAUAGGCAGCCCGGAACCUACUCACAGAGUAGUAUUCAUGUACAUAUGGUUGAAAGUUUACAUCUGCCGUCUCUAUAAGGAAUGCAAGUGCAUGCUCACAUGGCUUUCCAGUGUGUUGCCAUUCUAGGCAAGUGCACUCACGGCUGCCUAUCUUCACAACAUGCCUAAGAUUAUUCUUGCUAGUGUCCUUGACCUCACAACUUUCUCCGGUUGAUCUUCCAACAACCAAAUGGUCAAGUUGCCUAGUUCUAUUAUUUAUUUGUUGAAUGAUGGCAGGCAAUAUCUCUCCCUGGAGCAUUUUCCCAAUCCUUCUCCUUCUAUAAACAAGUAUCAUAAUUUUCUCUCUUAUUGCAUCGGCUAGCUCAUCCAUGGGCAGCUCCUUUGUUCCUUUGAUCCAGCUAUUGAAGCACUCAGCUAGAUUAUUGUGAAUGUAAUCACAUUUUUUUUCUGUGUUGAAGUCACAUCUCAUCCACUUUAAGUUAUGAUAGGUACACAAGUAGGUACUCACUGCAGGUUCAUCUUCAAAUAUCUUGCCCAUAUGAUAAUUAAAUGUUUCCAGACGAUAAGCCUUGGCUGCUGGCCACAUGCGACAAAAAACAUCUCUGUGAAACUUCUUUUUGAAGUUUGCCAUUAGAUGCCUAAAGCAUUCCCUUUGCUCAGCUUGAGGGAACACAAUUUUAACUGCAUUCUCUAACCCUUUGCAUGCAUCGGUACAAAUAGCUAGAGUUUGAAGAUGUCCUGUUGCCCUAUGAAGUUGUUGCAUAAACCAAAUCCAGUUACCCUCGGUCUCCGUACCAAAGAAACCAAAUGCUAAAGGAAACAUCCAAUUUUGUCCAUCUAGUGCUGUACAUGCUGCUAAUUGACCAUUCCACUUUCCAGUCAAAAAUGUGGAGUCUAUGCUGACAUAUGGUCUACAACCAGCCAAGAAGCCAUCAAUGCACGGCUUCAGUGCCAUAAAAAAUCUGCGGAAAUGCACUUCACCUCCUUCCCUCUUGACAUCAACCUCGACAAUGCUACCAGGAGAUCUUUUAUCAAUCUCAGCUUUGAAAUUCAAUAAUGACUGAAAGCUUUUCCCCCAUGUCCCAUAUAAACUAUUCUUGGCCCUUCCUUUUCCCUUGUCAACAGUAUGAUACCCAAUAGUACAUUUGUACUCGGCCUGUAGCUUUUUUCGGAGCUUGCUGGCACCAAUGUUUGGUUCAGUUUGAAGAUACCCCAUGGCCUUUUCUGCCACCCAUGCUUGGUCUGCCAUGCUUGUAAUCACUGCAGCGGUUGAUGAACACUUAUGAGAUUUUACUAUCUUGUUUACCUGCAGAAAACACAAUACCAACCACAGGAAGAGCCGCAUCAGCAAGUAAAUCCUCAUAAAUAUCAGCCACACAUGCAUCAACAUUUGCAAUGGAGGCUUUCAUAGCUUCUUCAGAUACAAUUUUCCGAUGCUCAGGUUCGUCAUUGAUGCCAAGCAGCGAGCACAUGUUCUCUUCUGUUAUAGGAACAUCAAUUUCUUCAUCAUUCAUUGGUGCUAUCUCAAUCUGGGACCAAUCAACGCUUCCUUCCAUAGUUGAUACAUAUGUAUCAUUGGUAGCCACCGGCCGAGACCUACUUGGAAAACAAAAGAUUUUUAGUUAUGGAGGGAACAUAAGGGCAUCAUCUAACUAGUUAGCAACUAUUAAAAGUAUGCUACAUGUAUGCAACUGCAGGAAGGUAACGAUAAGGAGGUCUAUCAAAGCCUGCAAUGGUAAAAAAGGUCGUUGACAUCCUGACUGAUUUUGUUAUGUUAGGAAACAAGUAACAGAUUAUUUAAUAUUCAUUUUCCAGUAAAACUAAGUGUAUGCCCAUGUCAUUUGAUUCAUGAUCCUCCUAGAAGUAUUCAUCCACAUGGUUUAAAGAUUUGGAUAAUUUUAGAACUUUAUAAUCCUGAAUCCUGAUAAUUAUGUGUCCAUCAUAUUGUUGCAGUUGCAGGGUUACUACAAGUGUAGCAGCGUUAGGGGCUGCCUAGCGAGGAGGCAUGCCAAGAGGUUCAAACCCUUGAUCCGUGUGGCACUGUGUGUGUUUGGGGUGGGGUGGGCCGGGAGGGAGGGGAGGUAAUAUACUGACCAAUCUGGAGCAGAUCGUGGUGAUCCAUGGACGCAACAGUCGCCUCCCUGUCCGGCAGUCUGUGGGAUCGUCUCAGCGGCCAUCUGUGUGAAGCCUCACUGUGCAGGGGUCGUCGGAGUUGAUGGCUUGGGGGCCGGCGGUGGAUCCGCCUCUCCACUAGCCAUGAACACCACGACACAAGCAACAGAAUCAAUCUAUGAUUUGUUAGUAGUUGGUUCCGUUGGGUAAAGCCAUGUAAAGAAAGUGAUAUGAUUUGUUCCCUGUUAAUUAGUUGCUUCGGUUGGAUACAACCUUGUAAAGAAAAAAGAUCUGUACAGUGUCAAAUUGUAAAUUAGCCACAGGGGCAAUUGUGUCUUUUCGCAUGGAGAAAAAAGGGAUACAAAAUCGAAAAUGAUUACAGUAAUUGAAAAGGGCAAAUCAUCAAAAGAAAAAUGAAAAGUGGGGCAAAUGAUCUAAUCCUAUGUAAAAUGGGGCAAAUCAUCUAAUGCCCAAGUAAAGUGGGGCAAAUGAUCCAAUCUCCCCG